rnacentral:tRNA from 1 species
GGGGAAGUAACUUAGCGGUUUAUAGUAUUGGUCUGUCACGCCAAAAGUCGCGGGUUCAAAUCCCGUCUUUCCCG